rnacentral:rRNA from 1 species
GCAGUCGCCGCGGGAAUACGAAGGGUGCAAGCGUUAAUCGGAAUUACUGGGCGUAAAGCGUGCGUAGGCGGUGAGUUAAGUCUGCUGUGAAAUCCCCGGGCUCAACCUGGGAAUGGCAGUGGAUACUGGCUCGCUAGAGUGUGUCAGAGGAUGGUGGAAUUCCCGGUGUAGCGGUGAAAUGCGUAGAGAUCGGGAGGAACAUCAGUGGCGAAGGCGGCCAUCUGGGACAACACUGACGCUGAGGCACGAAAGCGUGGGGAGCAAACAGGAUUAGAUACCCCCGUAGUCCCUGUCUCUUAUAC